GAUGAACGCUGGCGGCGUGCCUAAUACAUGCAAGUCGAGCGAACCACUUCGGUGGUGAGCGGCGAACGGGUGAGUAACACGUAGGUGAUCUGCCCAUCAGACGGGGACAACGAUUGGAAACGAUCGCUAAUACCGGAUAGGACGAAAGUUUAAAGGUGCUCCUGGCACCGCUGAUGGAUGAGCCUGCGGCGCAUUAGCUAGUUGGUAGGGUAACGGCCUACCAAGGCGACGAUGCGUAGCCGACCUGAGAGGGUGAACGGCCACACUGGGACUGAGACACGGCCCAGACUCCUACGGGAGGCAGCAGUAGGGAAUCUUCGGCAAUGGGCGAAAGCCUGACCGAGCAACGCCGCGUGAAUGAUGAAGGCCUUCGGGUUGUAAAAUUCUGUUAUAAGGGAAGAACGACUUUAGUAGGAAAUGGCUAGAGUGUGACGGUACCUUAUGAGAAAGCCACGGCUAACUACGUGCCAGCAGCCGCAGUAA
rnacentral:rRNA from 1 species